rnacentral:lncRNA from 1 species
UCAAGUUUGAUCCACAAUAGGGAAGCAUGUGAAAGCCAAUUGGAUGGUCCAAAAUGUUUGCGAAGUUCAAUCACAGCUAUGAUUUCGAUCUGGAGUGGGUUUCAGCUCUAUAAAGGAGGCCUAACAGCUUGUAGAGAUCAGUGAGUGCCCAAUAGAGUGUUUGAGGGAGAUUGAGGGCAUCUCGAGGAGAAGUAGCUUGGCAUGAGCAGCUACUUCCAAGGGGCAUCAACAGC